rnacentral:rRNA from 1 species
UACGAAGGGGGCUAGCGUUGUUCGGAAUUACUGGGCGUAAAGGGCGCGUAGGCGGUGUGUCAAGUCAGGCGUGAAAGCCCCGGGCUCAACCUGGGAACCGCGCUUGAGACUGGUACGCUCGAGUUCGGGAGAGGAUGGUGGAAUUCCCAGUGUAGAGGUGAAAUGCGUAGAUAUGCGGAGGAACACCGAUGGCGAAGGCAAUCCCCUGGGCCUGCACUGACGCUCAUGCACGAAAGCGUGGGGAGCAAACAGG